rnacentral:rRNA from 1 species
GACGAACGCUGGCGGCGUGCCUAAUACAUGCAAGUAGAACGCUGAAGGAGGAGCUUGCUCUUCUGGAUGAGUUGCGAACGGGUGAGGAACGCGUAGGUAACCUGCCUGGUAGCGGGGGAUAACUAUUGGAAACGAUAGCUAAUACCGCAUAAUAUUGACUAUUGCAUGAUAGUCAAUUGAAAGGUGCAAAUGCACCACUACCAGAUGGACCUGCGUUGUAUUAGCUAGUUGGUGGGGUAACGGCUCACCAAGGCGACGAUACAUAGCCGACCUGAGAGGGUGAUCGGCCACACUGGGACUGAGACACGGCCCAGACUCCUACGGGAGGCAGCAGUAGGGAAUCUUCGGCAAUGGACGGAAGUCUGACCGAGCAACGCCGCGUGAGUGAAGAAGGUUUUCGGAUCGUAAAGCUCUGUUGUAAGAGAAGAACGAGUGUGAGAGUGGAAAGUUCACACU